rnacentral:rRNA from 1 species
AGAGUUUGAUUAUGGCUCAGGAUAAACGCGGGCGGCGUGCCUAAAACAUGCAAGUCGAACGGCACCUUUCGGGUGUAGUGGCGGACGGCUGAGUAACACGUGGGUGACCUGCCCUCGAGCGGGGGAUAACUGCCCGAAAGGGUGGCUAAUACCGCAGAUGUCGAUCUUUCGGUAGGUUGACUGAACCGAUUCAGGGUUCGGGGAGGGGCCCGCGGCCGAUUAGCUUGCUGGUGGGGUAAUGGCCUACCAGGGCAUCGAUCGGUAGCUGGUCUGCGAGGAUGAUCAGCCAGACUGGGACUGCGAACGGCCCAGACUCCUACGGGAGGCAGCAGUUAGGAAUUUUGGGCAAUGGGCGAAAGCCUGACCCAGCAACGCCGCGUGGGUGAUGAAGGCCCUCGGGUCGUAAAGCCCUUUUCCCAGGGAAGAUGAUGACGGUACCUGGGGAAUCAGCCCCGGCUAACUACGUGCCAGCAGCCGCGGUAAUACGUAGGGGGCAAGCGUUGUCCGGAUUUAUUGGGCGUAAAGCGCUCGCAGGUGGUUCGUUGCGUCGUGCGUGAAAGACCCCGGCUCAACUGGGGAGGGUCGUGCGAUACGGGCGAACUGGAGGCCAGUAGGGGGAUGCGGAAUUCCGGGUGUAGUGGUGGAAUGCGUAGAGAUCCGGAGGAACACCAGCGGCGAAGGCGGCAUCCUGGACUGGUCCUGACACUCAGGAGCGAAAGCGUGGGGAGCGAUCCGGAUUAGAUACCCGGGUAGUCCACGCUGUAAACGAUGAGUACUAGGUGUCGGGGGUAUCGACCCCCUCGGUGCCGCAGCUAACGCGAUAAGUACUUCGCCUGGGGACUACGGCCGCAAGGCUAAAACUCAAAUGAAUUGACGGGG